rnacentral:rRNA from 1 species
CGGAGGAUCCAAGCGUUAUCCGGAAUCAUUGGGUUUAAAGGGUCCGUAGGCGGUUUAGUAAGUCAGUGGUGAAAGCCCAUCGCUCAACGGUGGAACGGCCAUUGAUACUGCUAGACUUGAAUUAUUAGGAAGUAACUAGAAUAUGUAGUGUAGCGGUGAAAUGCUUAGAGAUUACAUGGAAUACCAAUUGCGAAGGCAGGUUACUACUAAUGGAUUGACGCUGAUGGACGAAAGCGUGGGUAGCGAACAGGAUUAGAUACCCCGGUAGUCCACGCCGUAAACGGUGGAUACUAGCUGUUGGGAGCGAUCUCAGUGGCUAAGCGAAAGUGAUAAGUAUCCCACCUGGGGAGUACGUUCGCAAGAAUG